CCUACGGGAGGCAGCAGUGGGGAAUAUUGGGCAAUGGGCGCAAGCCUGACCCAGCAACGCCGCGUGAAGGAAGAAGGCUUUCGGGUUGUAAACUUCUUUUAAGAGGGAAGAGCAGAAGACGGUACCUCUUGAAUAAGCCACGGCUAACUACGUGCCAGCAGCCGCGGUGAUACGUAGGUGGCAAGCGUUGUCCGGAUUUACUGGGUGUAAAGGGCGUGCAGCCGGGAAGACAAGUCAGAUGUGAAAUCCCGCGGCUCAACCGCGGAACUGCAUUUGAAACUGUCAGUCUUGAGUACCGGAGAGGUCAUCGGAAUUCCCGGUGUAGCGGUGGAAUGCGUAGAUAUCGGGAGGAACACCAGUGGCGAAGGCGGCCUGCUGGACAUUAACUGACGCUGAGGCGCGAAAGCGUGGGGAGCAAACAGGAUUAGAUACCCUUGUAGUC
rnacentral:rRNA from 1 species